rnacentral:rRNA from 1 species
UACGAAGGGGGCUAGCGUUGUUCGGAAUUACUGGGCGUAAAGCGUGCGUAGGCGGUUUGUUAAGUCCGUUGUGAAAGCCCUGGGCUCAACCUGGGAAUUGCAGUGGAUACUGGCGAGCUAGAGUGCGGUAGAGGAUGGUGGAAUUCCCGGUGUAGCGGUGAAAUGCGUAGAGAUCGGGAGGAACACCCGUGGCGAAGGCGGCCAUCUGGACCAGCACUGACGCUGAGGCACGAAAGCGUGGGGAGCAAACAGG